AUCUCACAUAGGAUCACAAAUUCCAAGUACAAAUGGUAGCAUUGGGAACUUUUCACAAUGGGUGAAAGCUUGACGGAGGAUGCCACGUGGAGGUAAAAGGCCCUUAAGUUGGCAAAUUUUGUCUUGGGGAAGAAGCAACGAUGCAUCAACUAACUCAACAGCCACGGUGAGACAGAGGAUGCAAGCGUUAUCCAAAAUAAUUGGGCUUAAAGCGUCUCCAAUAGCAUUUUACAUCCAAA
rnacentral:rRNA from 1 species